UGUUGGUGAUGAUAAAUCCAAAGGCUUGUUUCUCAAAACAUUCGCAGUGGCCGUCUAAGAGCUUUCGCCUUUGCCGGGCUUGAGAGCUUGUGCUGCUUUAUCCUUCCUUGGAUGUCUGAAACU
rfam:Populus trichocarpa scaffold_16_contig_70, whole genome shotgun sequence.